GGUGGUGGUUUCCGGUGGUCCCGCGUGGAAGGGCGAGUGGGAUCUGAGUCCAGGCGGUAGGAGGCCGAGCAGGCGCUGAGGAACUUGAGAGUCUCAAACCUGCGUGCAGGAGGAGGCGGCAGGCUCCUGGGUGCGGCGGUCCCCUGGUUCGGAAAAAUAAUAAUGAAAACAAAUGCCUGAAAUGAAAAACACUGUGAUGGAAGUAAAGAAUGCCAUUGAUGGGAUCACCAAUGGACUGGACAUGGCCAAGGAAAGAAUCCCUGAGCUUCAAGAACAGUGAGAAAAAGAAAAGGCAAGCCAAGUUUUACAAGUCCCGGAUGGCUUAUUUAGACUCCACCUGCUAAUUCUAAAGUAAAACUGUUGACAGGCGGGAAGCUCGGCCCUACAGAGGAUUCUGGGAUGCGUAGUCUGGAAGCUUCCUGUGAUUGGGACGCUUCAGCUCCGGGAGAGCACAGACAUGUUAUUUGCUCCUUUGGGAAACAGGAAAUUAUAUCUUCCAGUGCUUUGUGUGUUUGGAGGCACUCCGACUGUGGGAGAAAAAUACAAGUCUUGCUCCUUUCGUGGAUUCUGGGAAAUUCGAUUUAGGCCGUUAAGGUUGGAGCGGGUACUUCCGCCCAGGGGGCGGGGCAGCGGCUCUUGUUCCUCUCGGGAAUACUGGGAAAUGUAGUCCAGGGGCUCCGCGAAGUCGGAGGUAUUUCCGCUUCAGGAGAUUGAGAUUGCGGCCUUCGAUUCUCGCCGGGAGACGCAGCAGAGAGAGAAGAUACUGAAGUCUGGCUCUGGUGUAAGGACCGGAUUCAAGUUCCAGCCUUGCCUCUCGACCUCCCCAAGCCUCAGCUUCCUUAUCUGUUACGUGGGAACAACAGUCAUCAUUGUCAUCAUGUAUUGAGAACUUGCUACAAUGCCAGCUGAGAAGAGGCACAGAGACGUUGGUGACUGGACAGGAGUCACACGACUACGACACCGGUAGCUUCUUCACAGACUCAGCGCGUCCCCAGAAGGAGGAGGACAAAAUGACCAAGUUCAAGGAGGCAGUGACCUUCAAGGACGUGGCCGUGGUCUUCACGGAGGAGGAGCUGGGGCUGCUGGACCUCGCCCAGAGGAAGCUGUACCAGGAAGUGAUGCUGGAGAACUUCCGGAACCUGGUCUCUGUGGGGCGUCACUCCUUCACACCAGAUAUAAUAUCCCAGGUGGAGAGAGAAGAAAAGCUUUGGAUGAUCAAGUCAGCAACCCCGAGCUAUUGCUCCUCAGGUGAGGGCCGUGCCACUCUGAGUCUGUCCUGCUUCUUGUCACCUGCACAGCUAUGACUCUGGUCCACGUCAAUGCCUAAACUGUGGAUUUCUGUCCCAAUCUUCGUACUGCUCUCUCAUCUGCUUUGCUUGUUUACAGAUAAUUCUGUCCUCAAAGUGAUUCUUUUCAAUUCAGAUCUUGUUUCUCUCUUCAGAACUCUUGUAGCUUCUUACUGAUUCAGAAUAAAAUUUAGGCACUUGAAGUGGCUUAUAAUGUCCCGUAUUCCCAUCAGUGUUAUAGCCUGCUUACAAAAACAAGUCUUUCUCUGGCAGGUCUAUAUAUUGACUCCUACUUGAAAAGUGGGAAAUUUUACAUGUAUGGAAAGAGUACAAAAAUUUCAGAAGUGGUGGUCCCUGGUGACCUAGUGGUUAAGGAUCCAGCAUUGUCACUGCUGUGACACGGGUUUGAUCCCUGACCCAAGAACUUCUGUAUGUCAUGGGCGCAGCCAAAAAAGCAAAUUUCAGAAGCAGCCAAUCCGUAAGCCCCAUGACCAUUUCUAUACCUUGGCUUUUUUUCCCCUCCCAACUGGUUCUCGCCGUGACUUCGUGAUCAUAAUGAUCUUCUCAUCAGCAACAUCCCCUGCAUCUAGUGAAGUCUUUCAGCUUCCCAACAACAUUGCUGUAUCCAAUUCCUUCUCCUCCCCACCCCACCUUUUUUUUUUUUUCUUUUUUGGCCACCCUGCAGCAUAUGGAGUUCCAAAGCCAGGGAUCAGAUCUGAUCCUGAGCUGCAGUUGUGACCUCAACUGCAGCUGCAGCAACACCAGAUCCUUAACCCACUGUGCCAGGCCAGGGAUUGAACCUGUAUCCCAGGGCUCCAGAGAUGCCACCAAUCCCAUUGCACCACAGUGGGAACUCCAUCUUCCUUCUUACUUUACAAAACUCUUCUACUUCCCCACUGCCCCCCCCCCUUUUUUUCUGGCUGUGGCAUGCAGAAGUUCCCAGGCCAAGGAUCAAACCCAAGCCAUAGCAGUGACAGCACUGGGUCCUUAACUGUCAGGCCACCAGAGAACUCCAGAAAGCUCUUUUACUUUUGUAAUGUGGCUCAGACUCUCAGAAGGAAGUCAAACUGGGAUUUAUUUAUACAUUCAACAUAUAUUUAUUGAUCACUAUGUCAGACAGUGUUCUGGGAGUGGUGAUAAAGCCAUGAACAAUAUGAAGUGCUUAUCCUCGUGGAGACUGCAUUGAAGUGGGAGAAGACAUAAAGUGAAACAGAUCAAGGGCAUUUAUAGUAUGCUGGUGGGAAUAUGUGCUGUGUGAAAAGAAAACAGGGUAAGGUGAAUGGAGAUUGCCUGGACUAUGGAAUGGAUAGCGAGAAUUCACUACAAGAUAUUGGUGGUAAAAGAGGCCUCACUGAUAAGGUGUUAUUCGAAGAGGCACCCGAAAAGAAGUUAAUCGCAAGCUAUAUGGCUAAUCGGUGAAACAGAGUUCCAGGGAGGACAUAACUUUUCCUGUCCCAUACUACUUUGAGAAUCAGUCCUGUGCCCUUUUUAUUUCCUCCUCGCAAGUUCUUACUCUGUUGUAAAAAUUACCUUCUAAUUUUUCACUCUUUCUUUUUCCCCUUAGAGGUUUUAGGAACUUUAUUGCUAUGAAGUUUUAGAAUAAUGUAUGUUAUUGCAGUAAACCUCUCCACUCAUCUUUCUUCCUGAAGACAGGAAGCAAAGGACCACUCUUUGCUUUACUGUGUAUGUUAGGCCCUUAGGUAGUAAGGUUAUUUUCUCCCAAACAUGUUAUCUUUCCAACCUAUCCGGUGCCUCAAAGUCUCCUAACAUUGGGAUAAACUUCCAAUAAAAUAAAGCAAAGGUUUUCCAACAUUGCCUGGGGACAUCUCUCAAUACUUUAUCUGUAAGGAUCUUUCUAGGCAUUUUGGUCAGAUGUGCAUGCAAUAGGCAGAAUUAUGUGGCAGCUAUUUAUCAGAUACCUACUACAGCAAAGACGUAAGGCUUUUAGCAAGAUGAAGCAUCAUGUUCAUAAAAUAUUCCCUAGGAGGUAUUUUCUUGCUUAGUAGCCACCAAAUUUCUAACUUGUAUUUCACCUAUGAAACUUAGGAUUUUAGAUGGACCCCAUUGCUGUGAGGUGAAGGGGACCCUGGUGGACUACCUCUUGGUUUCUGGAGGGGCAUGUAAAUCAGAGAACAUGACACAUAAUGUUAAAGAAAAACGAAGCUUUUCUUGGUUCAAUAAAGUCUUUGGACGUGGGCCCAAGUUUAUAACCUUGACAUCUCUGCAGAGUAUGAACAUGUCUCAUCUCUAAAUUCUGUCCUUUUAGGAGAUAAGAAUCUCAAUAGCAUGGAAACCCUUCAGGAAAUUGGAUUAAGGUAUCUGCCACAUGAAGAGCUUUUCUGCUCACAAAUCUGGCAACAGGUUAUAAAGGAAUUAGCCAGGUGUCGAGAUUCCCUGGGAAAUAUUAAAGUAACUGGCUCUCAGUUGGAGAAACAAGGUGACGCGCUCUAUAAAGAUGAGUUUGAUAAAGACUUUAAUCGGAGUUCACACCUUCAAGUUCACCACAGAGACCACACUAGAGAAAAACCCUCCAAAGGGGCAGAGUGUGAGAAGGGUUUCAUAAGGGGUUCUCAACUUCAAAUUCACCACACAGCCCCUGUAGGAGAGAAGCCCUAUAAAUGUGAAAAGUGUGGAAAUACCUUCCGUCGGCUUUCAAGUCUUCAAGCCCAUCAGAGAGUCCACAGUAGAGUGAAAUUGAACAAAUAUGACUCAUCAUGUAAGGGUUUCAGUCAGAGAUCAUAUCUUCGUCAUCAUCAGAGAGUCCCCAGUGGAGAGAGUCCACACAGAUAUGAGGAAUGUGGGAAGAAUGUUGGGAAAAGCUCACAUUUUCAAGCUUCUCUGAUAGUCCACACGCUAGAGAAACCCUAUAAAUGUGAGGAGUGUGGGCUGGGCUUCAGUCAGCGCUCCUAUCUUCAUGUCCAUCAGAGAGUCCAUGCAGGAAAGAAACUUUAUAAAUGUGAAGAGUGUGGAAAGGGCUUCACUUGGCGUUCACGCCUACAGGCUCAUCAGCGAAUCCACACUGGGGAGAAACCAUACAAAUGUGAUGCAUGUGGCAAGGGCUUUAGUUACAGCUCACACCUUAACAUUCAUUGUAGAAUCCACACAGGUGAGAAGCCCUAUAAAUGUGAGGAGUGUGGGAAAGGCUUCAGUGUGGGUUCCCACCUUCAAGCCCAUCAGAUAAGCCACACUGGAGAGAAACCAUACAAGUGUGAGGAGUGUGGGAAAGGCUUCUGUCGGGCCUCAAAUCUUCUGGACCAUCAGAGGGGUCAUAGUGGUGAGAAACCGUAUCAAUGUGAUGCCUGUGGAAAGGGCUUCAGUCGUAGCUCGGAUUUUAACAUUCAUUUCAGAGUCCACACGGGAGAGAAACCCUAUAAAUGUGAGGAGUGUGGGAAAGGUUUUAGUCAGGCCUCAAAUCUUCUAGCCCAUCAAAGAGGCCACACCGGAGAAAAACCAUACAAAUGUGGUACAUGUGGGAAGGGCUUUAGCCGGAGUUCUGAUCUCAAUGUUCAUUGUAGAAUCCACACAGGAGAAAAACCCUAUAAAUGUGAGAAGUGUGGGAAGGCCUUCAGUCAGUUCUCAAGUCUCCAAGUGCAUCAAAGAGUCCACACUGGAGAGAAACCAUAUCAGUGUGCAGAGUGUGGGAAAGGCUUCAGUGUGGGCUCACAGCUUCAGGCCCAUCAGAGGUGCCACACAGGAGAGAAACCCUACCAAUGUGAGGAGUGUGGAAAGGGCUUCUGUCGGGCCUCAAAUUUUCUGGCUCAUCGUGGUGUCCACACAGGAGAGAAACCAUACCGAUGCGAUGUGUGUGAUAAACGCUUCAGACAGAGGUCAUACCUUCAAGCCCACCAGAGGGUCCAUACUGGAGAGAAACCAUACAAGUGUGAGGAAUGUGGGAAAGUCUUCAGUUGGAGCUCUUACCUCCAGGCUCAUCAGAGAGUCCACACUGGGGAAAAACCAUACAAAUGUGAGGAGUGUGGGAAGGGCUUCAGUUGGAGCUCAAGUCUUAUAAUCCAUCAGCGAGUCCAUGCUGGUGAUGAGGGUGACAAGGACUUUCCCUCAUCAGAGAAUGCAUAUGGCGAAGAAGCUGUAUAAAACUACAUGCUUUAAUAUCUCAAAUGGGUGCUAGAAUAGCCCUGUCCUAGAAGGCAGAACAUUUGUUUUAUGAAAGAGUAUUUCUGCCUAAGCUUGACACAUCACAGUGGUUGGGUGACCACAUGGCAGAGGAGCCUCAUGAGAGUGGAGACAUAAGAACUUCAUUCAGAACCGUGACAUUUAGCAAGUACUAAACACAUGAGAAGCUGAAAAAGAAUGAGUCUGAUCCCGAGUUAUCCAAAAGUACUAAGACAGAAAUGCCAAAUUUCUUCCACUAGAAUAAAAGCUCCCAGAGGGCAGGGACUUUUUUAGAUUGCCAAGUCCACUCUCCUUCUGUGCCUAACACACUGCAGGUGUCCAGUAAUGUUAAGUGAGUAAAAGGGAGAACAGUCACUUUUGAAAUUUUCAUUCAGUUCCUCUCUUAAAAACUUCUGUAAAAUUGUACUCAGAAAAGGAAUUCUCCAAGGUUUGGAGGACAUUUAAAUUAGACACAUGGGCCCAUUUUCUCAGCCCUAUAGGUCCUGUGAACUAGUGUUUAUCAAACUGAAGGUUGUAACCCAUUGGUGGGUCCAGAAGAGUCACUUCACCAGGUUGCAGCCAGCACUUUUGUAUGCUAACGAUUCUUGAGAGAUGUAAUUUGCAUGCGGUCACAUGCAUAACUUUCAUGUUUACAGCUUCAUGAAUUUUGAUAAAUGUAUCUACCUGUGUAAUUACGAAGGACAAUAUAUACAAUAUUUCUAUUAAACCAGGAUGUUUCUUUGUGUAC